CUCUCCUCUGAUUUCUUCCCAUGGAUGAUCUUCAGCUUCUUUCAGAGUGUACAUGGCUGUGAGGGUCUCCUCAAGACCAGGCAGCAAAUGCCACAGUCAGCAACACUAUGGAGGUAUUUUAGAAGCAGAAGCCCACGCUGUCCCCACCAUCCCUACAUGGCCCAAACAUUUCAUUUGGUUCCAGGCAAAGGAACCUGAAUCACUUCUCCCUCUCCUGUGUACACCAGGCCUACCCCCCAUCAUCUGAUCUCAGGGGAGGUGAACUAUUACUUCAAGCAAAAUGAAGUGAGAGAGAAAGCCAGUGCAUAUUCUAAGCACAGGUUUUCCGGAGUUAGCACUGGGGUACCUGCCCUCUUAGGCAGAGAGAUGUGCAUAGCCUGCUCUAGGCUUGCUGGACUCUUCCUUUCUUAUCUAAUCUGUUCACUAUAUUAUUUUAUUUGUUUUAAAUGUCAUUUAUUCCCCCCCCCCAAGAAAAAAACAACUGAAAUGGAAUUACAUACUGUCUUCAGAUGGUAAAUACGUAAGUCAAUGGCAAUUUCUUUGGCUGAGAAAGCCUUCUGCCUGUCUGCUCAAAGGAACUUUAGUACUGCGUAUUCACAUACUUGAAGAGCCAGGAUGGAGUGCUAGCCUGCAUAACCCCCUAGGGAAUUUAGCAGGCAUGACUGAUAGGAAUCAGAAGUUCUUUUGUGUGCAGUAAGAUCUCAAAUGUAUGCCGGAACUGGGGGUGUACUCUCAAAGACAGGGAAAAAUGGUUAGGAGACUAAAGGCCAAGCAUGAUGCUUCUUCUGUAAUAGAAAUGGGAUGUGUACACAUGGGAUUAGGGGACGCUGAGGAUUCUCCAGAAAAGAAGAGGCAGAACGUUCAUGGAGGCAAGUGUGGUGGUUUGAUAAAAAAUGACCCUCAUAAACUCAAGUUUGAAUACUUAGUCAUCAGAGUGGUCCUACUAGGGAGGGAUUAGGAGAUGUGGGUUUAUUGGAGUAGAUGUGGAGGAAGUUUGUCACUGGGGGUGGGCUUUGAGGUUUCAAAUGCUCAAGCCAGGCCCAGUGUCUCCCUCUUCCUGCUGCCUGUGGAUCUGCAUAUAGAACUCCCAUCCAGAGUCUCCGUGCUCCCCACCAUGAUGAAAAUGGACUAAACCUCUGAAACUGUAAGCCAGCUCCAAUUAAAUGUUUUCCUUUAUAAGUGUUGCCAUGGUCAUGGUGUCUCUCCACAGCAAUAGACCACUGAUCAAGACAGCAAAUGUGACUGGUUAAAGGGCCCAGUGUGAGUGAGGAAUGAGGGAAAUGGGAAAAGGACCAGGAAGAGAGGGAAGCUGUGGGUGAAGCAGUCUCUACCAGGAGAGGGUAGAUCAUAUGGGGGCAUCACUGAGGUCUCAGUUCCUUCAUGUGGAUAAUGCAGGACAUUCCACUGGAGUUUGGUCCCACCCUGACACUAAAGAUUGGAUUCCACUACUGCGAACUUGGGGGCUACAAUCUUCUGGAUGUCUGGGGAUACAGCUUAGAUGUAUAGCCCUUGUCUAGCAUGCAGAAGACCCUAAGUUUGAUCCCCUGAACUACAAGAAAAAGAAGGAGGAGAAGAAGGAAUAAGAUGGAAGGAGGAGGAAGAAGAAGAGGAGCAGGAAGAAGAGGAAGAGGAGGGAGAGGAAGAAGAAGAAAUAAUUCACCAAGUCUCCCCAGAGGUUCAGUAAUAUUUCUUGAUGGUGUACAGUCAGUAGCUGCUCUGUUCUCCUUCCUCGCCUAAAGGAACCAUGGGUUUCCUGUCAGGAAUGGAAGGAAUUACCCAUGAGAAAAGCAGCAAUGGACUGAUCUCAGUUGCACCUGAUCAUGAGUUCUCUCCUGGGACCACUGGGAGGCAGUGGAGAGAGUCCAGCAGUACCAGGGAUGCCAAGGAUCUGCUUACAUCAGCUAUUCAGGGAGAUGGCCUUUAGGCUGAAAUCCAGAACAGCUCUGUUCCUGGUGAGGUCUCAGAUUGGAACCCAAACAGCAGCUGUUUGCUAAGAGUCCACAACAAAAUGAAUAGAAAAAUUGAUUUGACUUUGUUGCAGCAUCCAUGGGCGGUUUCAACUUGUCUUUAUUUAAAUGUAAUCUAACUACAGUUGAAUCUAACAGCUAAAGAUGGGACCUGUGUUACAGCUUCAUCUUCCCACUUUCCUUCAAGAAUCCACGUCCACUACAGAUUGUUAGUAAGAGUCUGCAACAUACUGGAAAACAAUUGGUAAAACACACAAUUCUUUCCUUAUAGAGAUGAAUACUGGUCUCAUCACAAAGGCAUCUGUAUUAGUUACUUGUCUGUUGCUGUGAUAAAACACCAUGACUGAGGGGACUCAUGGAAAGAAGGGUUCAUCUGGGCUUCUGGUUCUAGAGGGAUAAGGGUCCACCUUGGUGGGGAGGCAUGGUAGCAAGUGGUAGGCAUGGCGGCUGGAGCAGGGAGUGGAGAGCUCAUAUCCUCAAUGGCAAGCACAAAGCAGAGCAGAGCAAGCUGGAUAUGGGCAAGACAAUAAACACCAAAGCCCACCCACAGCGACACACUUCCAGCAAGGCCCGUAUCCUCAGCCUCCCCAAAACAGCGCCACCAACUGGAGACCAAGUGUUCUGAUACCUGAGCCUAUGGGGGACAUUCUCAUUCCAACCACCACAGUACCACCACUUCAUAAGGCAAAAAGACCAGGAAGAGCUCAGGCAAGGGAGUGCUGGGGAAGAGAAUGUGCUGGGCAGAGGGGGUGGCACUCUGAAGGUAAUUCAGAGUCACUGAACAGGAGCCUGGAUGGUGCCAUGUGGGACAGGAGGGCCACACAGCAACCAGUCAAGGACAGAGUUGGGACCGUGCACAGGAGGUCUACAGUCUCACGUUAAGAGGUUGGGAUUCUGUCAGAAAUGUGAUGGGAUGCUGUGAAGAGCAAGGCUUGGCACAGUCUUAAAGCCAGGUCCGGCUUCUGUGUGUAUGGCUGGCAGCUGGGGUAUAACACAGACCUGCAGAGUUAUGAGGACAUGGUUGACAUGACCAUUCCAGUUAUUUUUCUACAAUAGGUUUUUGAUAGACGGAUUUGGGUGCCCCUGGGAGAAGAGCCAAGGACGAUGGCCAGAUUUUGGAUCUGAGUUGAGGGGUACCAAGUUCAGCUGUGUUCUUCUUAGGUUGGAGCUGCCACUGAGAGUCAGUCGGGCAUCCGGAGAAAGGCCUGGGUUAAAUUUAGAGCUCAGCAGUCAUGAGCAGAAAGACAAUUUCUGGCCAUGGGACCGCAUGAACUCACGUAGGAGAAAGUAGAGAAAGGGUCCCAAGUCCAAAUGCAGAGACACCGGGGAGAACAAAGAGGCAGGCAGAGGGUGCUAGAUUGCUUCACAGAUGCUGAGAGGGAGAGUGACAAGGAAGAGUGAGCGCUCCCCAGGGAACUGAGGACCACAGGAGGGAGGCGUGACCAUGGGUUUGGCUACUGGUGACCUUGAGACUUGGUGGUUGAAACAAAUCCAUCUGGAGACAGUGCAGUGAACGGGGCGUGAGAAGAAGUCUGCUGCGGGGAGGCAGUGGAUGGGGCGGCUGGAGGGUCAAAGAGGACCCCAGAGUUCUGGACCUUGUUCAUGGGUGGUGUAUGGUGGUGGGAGUGGUCCAGAAUUGUGGACAAGACUUGUCACACAGGUAGAGGGGCUGAAGGAGGGCACCCAUGUAGAAGAUGUGAGGGGAUGGAUCACACAUGAGCAGGGAGGCUUGUUUUCAAGGAGGAGCCAGAUCUGGGCACAGGCCUGAGUAGCUCCAAGGCCAGGGCAGUAGAGACAGGCAGACUGUGCUCUAAAGACACCUAUUUUCUGAGUAAACUAUGAGGAGGCCAUCGUUUAGCACCUGAGAAUUAUGUAUUAUUUAUCAUAGUCCUUAGUCCAUCUAUAUAUUUCAAUCCAUGCAAAAGAGGAAAAUGAACCUUCAAAACAGCCUCGGCUCCUCAUAAAUGUUCACACAAACAGAAGGGGUCUAAGUGCAGACCAUUAUAACCUAUGCUCUCCAAUGUUUCAAAAUUCUUCCAAGUCAUGAGCCUCACAGCUUUCACUGAUCAUUCCUCCUCACGUAUCCCAAAGGCUCACACAGUCCACAGAGGUUUCUCAUGUAGGAAAGGGCUGACCCCUUAGAUUAUGCAUCCACCUCUACCCCACACGGUUAGCGGCAGAGGCUGCUUGCUGCUUACCACAAGCCACACUGCUCUUUUAUCUCUGAGUUCUCUUCCAGCCUGUGUUGUCCAGGGCCCCAUGUCUGUCUAGGUUCAAGUCAACGGACUGUGACUAGAUGUAACACACAGCAACCAGUACCAUGAGUCCAGGCUAGACCCAUGAGACUCUUCCAUAUUAGCUAGAAGGGAAAUGAUUUCCCAGAGCCCGUGGAUGCCUGAUGAUGAGAAGAUGUACUAACUGACCAACGCUCACACUACACUGCACCAUGAACAUGAACUUCUGUCUUGUUUACGCCCCAGUCUGCCCCUUGAGAACGUCUGCACAGUCCCAGCCUUCCUUGCACUUGGCCUAAGGAGUAAGGAAUGGGCACAGGUCUGCUCCGUGAAGCAGCACAGUGGGCACUCUUGAUGUGUCCCAUACUGUUGUCAUAGCCAGUAUGCGCCCUCAUUGCCACAUUAAAGCUGCAUUUGAACGAUGUCUUUUUAAAAGAUUGUUUAUUUUGUAUACACGAGUGUUUUGCCUGCGUGUAUGUAUGUCUGCAUGAUGGUGUCCAAUCCUUUAGAACUGGAGUUACAGAGAGCUAUGAGCUGCCGUGUGGGUGCUGGGAAUUGAACCAGGGUCCUCUGGAAGAGCAGCCAGUAUUCUUAACCACUAAGCCAUCUCUCCAGCCCCGUAAACAGUGUCUUAAUGUUUUAAGCCAGUGGUUCCUCAGCCCCAACUGCAUACAAGAAUCACUUGAAGAACUCUGCCUAAUUGGUCGGGGCUGGAUUGUGGCUUUAGCUAGCUCUCAUGAGUAAUGGUAAUUCUAAUGGGCAAUUUUUGGGUAAUUCUAAUGGGCAAUCCAAGUUAAGAUGCCCCACUCUGUGUGGUUGUGAUAGACAGCUGAGGCAAACCAACCUCCUUCCACUUACCAACUGCUGGAUGCAGGCUCAGCACAUUCAUGCUGGAUGCAGGCUUAGCACAUUCAUGCUGGAUGCAGGCUCAGCAUAUCCAUGCUGGAUGCAGGCUCAGCCCAUUCAUGUUGGAUGCAGGCUCAGCACACUCAUGCUGCAGAGCUAGUGUGUGAACUACAGUGCCUUGAUAUCUGGUCUGGUCACCUUUACCAAAUUCUUACUAUUGGAACUGGAGUCCACAGACUACCAGCACUGGAUGAGCUAGGAGCACAUUAGAAGUGCAGGCUCUAGCCACACCCUAACCCACUGAAUCAGAAGCCUUGCGUUAGAGAAAUGCCCUGGCAAGUCACUCACAAUGAAGUCUGGGAAGCUAAGGAAACUUUGAAGAUAAGCCUAGAAGCGAGAAGUAAAGAAGCUGGUACUUAAUGCCACAAUCUGGCCUUUAAGAGCAAGGCAUGGUGGGAGAAGAUCCAUGACUGCGUGUUGACAUCGCCUCCAGGCAGCCUACCGUACCAUCUAUAAAGUUCUACAAGGGGCUAUGGUUUCAGGCAGAUAUGUACAGAAUCCCUCAGCCUCUGCCCCUCACAAGAUCUGCAGGCCUCUAGACGUCAAAACUGCCAUUGUGGCAGCUGUCCACAGUCCGACCCAAGUUUAGGUAAUGAAUCCAAGAAGUUGGAUGGACCCCCGCAUGCCAAAGUCAUAGUUGUUUCCAAGGUGACAUCUGAAACUUUGCUCUUAGCUCAGGGAAAAUCAAUAAACGUUAUACAGCACAUUACAUUUUCCACUUUUGUUGUAACAACACAGAAAGCCAAUAAAUGUGUCCACCCAAGGAAGCAAACCAUCAUGCGGCCGGGCUCUGCCUGUUUCCAGGUGUUCACCUGCUCUGAGAUACGCUGAAAGACGCAGUUCAAGAUCAAUAUUACCCAGCAGCCCCAAGGGGGGGGCUGUGAUCUGCUCUCUAGCUCAGAGUCACUGCCAUGGGGUGUCCCUGAGGAAAUACUGAAUGCAUCUGAUGACAACCGUUAGACUUCAGUGUAAGAACAAAAAUGAGGCUUCACAGAAGCAAUGUGCUAUGCAUCUGAUGUCACAGUCAUGCAGAAGCCAUGGAAGGGUGCACAGGUGGGGUGAGGCAGCUGUUGGGAACCUGCAAUUUCCUGACAGUCUUUGCAGCAGGGAAAGAUGGGCUGAAAUCAAAAGGUGACAUGCGUUUCUGUGCUCCAAAGAUCCAACUAUUCCCUGAAAUGGCAGGAGCCUCAGUUAAACUGAGAGUGGUCUUAGCCAGGUGAGACUACAUCUGUGUGUUGGAAUGUUCUGAUGUCUGGGUACCCUUUUCCACACAUAAUCUGCUCCAGUUGGAAUUCCCGAUGUCCAUCAAGGCUUCUUUGUUUCUUUAAGAGAGAAAUCAGGGGCUCAGGAUGAAAGGGAGGAGUGUGCUCCACAAGGUAGACAAGAAAGCUCACACGUAAUAGAAAGUUUGUCGCUUGUCUUUUCUGCCUCUCUCUGCAGCCCACAAGAGCCUGUACCACCAGAGACCAUGUGAGAUUCAAGGUUGCUAGGAUAUCCUGGUGAUUCCCAAACUCUCCCUCCACAGGCUAGACCAAGGUGGCACAUAGAUAAAUCAGUGUGGAUUUUCUGAAUCUCAAAAUUUUUGUUUGUUUGUUUUUGAGACAGACUCUCACUGUGUAGCCCAGGCUUCCCCUAACUCUUCCUCUCCUCUCCUUUCCCCUCUCCUCCCCUCCUCUCCCCUUUCUUCUCCCCUCCCCUCCUCUCCUCUCCUCUCCUCUCCUCUCUGCAUUUCCCUUAAUUAUAACAGAAAUUUCGAUUAAAAUCAGAACAGUGAACAUUUUAAUGACAAGUCUGUAGACCAGAUUCUAAUAGUUACAGUGCCCCUCAUCAGUUACUUCACAUUAAGUAAAAUUUCUUAAAUAAAAAAAAAAAGAAAGAAAAGGAAAACAGAAACAGUGCUGUACUUGAAGGGAGCACAAGAUUAAGUAUUACAACUUUAUAACCAAAUUAUAUCUAGCACCUUUAAAAUGACACUAAUAGCCCCGUGUAACUGUGAAUGCACUGAUGGCCGAAAUAUAGCCCACAAGUACGGUGUGAUUUACAGCUGCAUGUCAACACCUCCCCUGGGCACAGUAGCCUGCACAGUGGACAUGUGUUUGGUUCAGGCUUCUACACUCAGGGCUGAAAAGAGAUCUGGCUGAGUCCCUUAGGUUCCCAAUCUGAAAAGAUCCCACUGAGGCCAUAGGUGAGAGAGACAUUAGUAUAUUUGAGUUGGACAGAGUUCUUCUGACAGACAAACUAGUACCCUUUUCAGUCCAAUCCAGAGCCUUCCGGGCCAGGGGAACACAUGAUUACAGGCUUAGGAAGCCACCCGGACUUGACUGCAGCUGUUCAAGUAUCACAGCAGAGGCAGGUGAGGCAUGGCAGCCUAAGUUCCCCACAGUGGACACUGGCUUUGCAACCAAGGGGAUCUAGGCAACUCAGGACAGUGAAAACAUGGUUUUCAUUUUAUUUCUACGUUCGCUUAUUUGUGUGUGGAGGUCAGAGAGCAGCCUGUGAGAGUCAGUCCUUUCCUUCACCCAUGUGAGUUCCAGGAACUAAACUCAGGCCAUCCGUCUUGGUAGAGCACCCUCACCUGUUGGGGCGCCUUCCUGCGCUGCUCAUCGCUCUUAACCCACAGUGACAGCAGGGCCGAGCAGGGAUGUCUGCGUGUUAGGCCUUCCUCUUACCACUCUUUCAAGCAUUACGGAUUAGUCCUCUCCAGUGUGGUUCUUAUGGACACCUACAAGGUCACUGUGCUGGCUUUCUUAUGAGUGCACCCAUCUUUAUCACAAACCCUGGAGCCUCAGGUCUUCCUUUUAACAAGUACAGCCAAACAGAAACACCAAGAAGCAGGCUCAGCAGGCAACAAGUGAGGUCAGGAAAACAAUCAGAUGCUUUUCUAAUCCCUCAGCAUUUAUCAGCUCUCGAGGUCCAAGGUCAUUUCCUACCGGGAGAUUCCACCUUCUGGUCCCACCUUCUCCGGGGGCCCACAUGAUCCUCAACUCUUGAUUCUCUUGCCUCAGCCCCUCAAGUGGAGACUUGAGGUUUUGUGCCAUCAUUUCUUCUUUUUUUUUUUUCCUUAAAAAUUGGUGCUUUCUUGUUCUGAUCUUACAGAAAGUCCCAGCAGGUGAGGAAACAGUCAGCUGAUAACAAGGGGCAGGACUUGGUCCCGUGUGAGUGUAUAGACACGUGUGCACACACACUUGGGAUGGGCUUGUAGGUUAUGCAUAGGAAAUAGCCACAUCUCAGUCUACGGACAGUGCUUCUAAGAUUCAUGUUAGAAUUAAGUGUGCCAGGAUCCUGCAAGAAAAAGUGCAUGCCAUCCGGUGAAAAGCACUAUAGUUUUACGACAUGUGGACAAAUCUUGAGAAGCACUGAAGAAUGGAAACGACGGAAGUGUGAGAGAGAACAGAGAGAAGAGACACAAAGAAGCCAGAACAAAUCACUGUCUAACGAGACUCCAGGAGGCUUUGCUAUUGGCACCGUGUGAGUGGCCCUGGCCUCAGGUCUUGGCUCCGAUCCUGAGUGGCCAAUGGACCUUGGGGAUUUUCCUUUCUGUUUUCUGUUCAUUUCCUGCACUUUAUUUUCACGUCCUUUCCGAGCUUCUGUCAGCUGAAGAACCCGGAUGGCGAUGCCUACGCCGCAGGGGAUUUUAUAAGAGUAAGAAGCAACCCUGUAAAUGAGCAAGCAUGGAGUGUCCGGCCCCAAAGUAGAUGCUCAAGAAAAGGAGGCAGAUGAUGAUUUUAGCCACAGUGAGAGCAAUCAGAGAAAAUUCCAGUGCAAAAGCCACAUUCAGUGAACACCUACUAUGUGGGAGCCACCUACUAUGUAGGCCAAUGAGGAUUUAGCUCACUACAUUCUGACAAGGAGUUUGCAGAGGAGGGCUUCUUAUGCCUCUAUCAUUCUCCAUCUUGUAAAGAUAGGGUCUCUCACUGAGCUUGGGGUUUGCCAUUUUCAGCAAGGCCCCCAGGAUCGGCCUGUCUACCUCCCACCUCCCGCCCAGUACUGGAUGACAGAGGAAUGUGAGCUACUGGCAAGACAAUGUCUUCCCCAAACUCUUCCAUGUCACAGGAAGCUGGGGGCCAUUUAGAGUCAGGGGGAUCUUUCUACAAAACCAAACCCCCCAUACAGAAGGAGAAAACGAAAGCUGGGCGGGUCGGGCUGCCCGUAACCAUAGCACUUGGGUGGCUGAGACAAGGCGCUAUGAGGUUCAAGAUCAGCCUGGGUUACAGAGUGAGGCCCUGUGCUAGUGAGCUCUGACAGAAACAGCUAAAGAAGAAUUUAUUUUGGUUAAUGGUUUAUGCAAUGGUUCUCAACCUUCCUAAUGCUGGGGCCCUUUAACACAGUUCCUCAUGGUGUGGUGACCCCAACCAUAAAAUUAUUUUUGUUGUUACUUCAUAAUUGCAAUUUUGCUCCUGUUACAAAUUGUAAUGUAAAUAUCUGUGUUUUCUGGUGGUCUUAGGUGACCCCUGUGAAAGGUUGAGAACCACUGGUUUGGGGGAUACAGCCCCCUCUCCCCCCAAGGUACCAAAGGUGUGAUGGGAGUGGCUUGCAGCUGUGGCAGUGGCAGGCAGCUGGCUGCAUGGCCUCAGCAGUUAGGAAGCAAAGAGCUUACAUAGGGAACACACCCAGCCUGCAUCCCCCCCACCCCACCCCACCACCUGUACCCUAGGCCCUACAUCUGACAGCUGGGCCCCAUGUCCAGAGAGUUCAACAAGCCUCCAAGUCAGGGUUUCCAGUUGGGAACCAAGCCUUCACACCCAUGGGCCUGCCUAUAUGAAACAUUCCAUAUUACACUGUAACAGGCCCUGUCUGUAGACAAACCAAGGCUGGGCAGGAGGGAGAGGCCGGCCAGUAAAGCUCUGGCUGCACAAGUUGAUACACAGAACCCCCAGAGCUGGGGGGCUGGAGACAGGCGGAUGUUUAGGGUGCCCUGCGUAGUCAGCCUUGACGCCUCUGUGAUCUCUAGGCUGACAAAAGACACUGUCUCAAAAUGCAAGGUGUAUGGGGUCUUCCGCCCAUAUGUCUAGUGCCUCUGGAAGAAGCGGAAGGCGACAGUGGUGGUGGUGGUGGUGGUGGUGGGGUGGUGGUUCUGAAGGGCAGUGGGGAAGGGGCAGGAGCUAGGAAAGAGAAGGAAAAGGAAACAGCCAGGAAGAGUGACCCCAGAGCACUCUGCCAGGCUGGCACGGCCCCACAGUGAUGGUGAUGGAGGGAUUUAUUACUUUCUGUGUUGUUCCUGAUUGCGAGAGGUUUUAUUGCUAUGAAAUACAAGUCAUCCAAUGUCCUAGGGAGGAGAGGAGGAAAUAAAUCCUGCCUAGAGCAGGGCUGGAGAGAUCCUAGGGUUUAAGGACAAACACGGAGAAUUUCCCACUUGUAGUGGCCAUCUAUAUCCCAAGCAUAAUGAAGUCGCCCCUCUAGUGAGGGGCUCAAAGCACUGGUCACGCCGAUGAUUCUCUCUGUGUCUUCCAGGGAGUUGACAUUUAAGCCCUGCAAAACAAAGGCUUGCUCAUCUGCAGGGAAGAACUGCAGGUUCAUGGUGAGAAUAUAUUUUACUGAGGAUCCUGAACAUGGUAAAGGGAGCAUCUACCGCAUCUGCCCUACACAGGAACCGCCAGACCAGCGGCCUGCCAGGUGGGAGUGGAGGGAUGGGCUGUGGGGAGCAGACUCUGGUCUGGUAGGGGGCGAUUUUCCUUUGGAGUCCUCUCCAUGGAAGAAGAAUCACCUGUGCUGUUCCUCUGACCUCAGUCGAAAUUUCUCCCCUAAAUGAAGUUUAAAAACAAAACCAUUUCAUUGUCCAAGUCCAGGAGAGAUGGAGGUGGAUGGCCACAUUUCCAGCAAGACAUAAAGGAAAGAAAGGAGACAAGGUAGGCCUGCCAAGAGGCUAAGUCUAGUGAAUGGUGGGUCCACGGGAAGAGGAGGAAGGGGAAUCUGGGCCCAUCUAUGAGUUCUAGGAAAUGAGCCUAGAAACCAACAGCCACAGAGUCCGAGACCUGGGGUCUACUUGAAAAACUGGAACAAAGUCUUCUUCUGUGUGUGUGUGUGUGUGUGUGUGUGUGUGUGUGUGUGUGUGUGUGUGUGUGUGUUUCAAUGUACAUAGGCAUUUUGCCUGCAUGUAUGUCUGUGCACCAUGAGCAUGCCGUGCCUGAGGGGGCCAGAAGAGGGCAUCAGAUCUCCUGGAAAUGGAGGUGAGAGGGUUACGAGCCACUGGGAAUGGAACCCAGGCCCUUUGGAGGGCAGUCAACCACUGAGUCAUCUCUCCAGCCCCAAAAUGUGUAUGUUUAGAAGAAAAAGAUCAGUGUUUCUAAUUCAACAUAGGUAGAAAAAGACCAGGGGAAGGGGAGGAGGAGAGGGUGGGAGAGGGGAGGAGAGAGGGUGGGAGAGGGUAGGGGAGGAGGAGGAGAGGGUGGGAAGGGAGGAGGAGAGGGUGGGGGAGGAGGAGACUGUUCUCAGUGUUAGGGCAGAGUUUCUCUGAAGUACAAGCGUCUGACUGAGGAGAGUGGAAGACAUCACUGGUAAUAACUCAUCACAGAAGAAAGAAAAUGUUAGGUGCAGCAAUUGUGCAGAAUGCUGGUGUGGCGUGCAAGCAGCUAUCUGCUCGUAAUCACUCUGCUGUCAUGUAGAGCAGUACAUGGAAAAAGCAUUAGGAUAAUUUACUGUUGCUUAUGAACAAUAAAUUAACAGGACUGGCUGUUAUUUUGCAUUUCCUGCUAAUACAAUACUCUUGAGGGUCACUGGCAAGGAGGCUGCCAGGCAGACAGUGCCGGCGACAGCCAUGUCACUGUGGGGGCACACAGUGACCAAGGGGAGGAACAUCACUAGCACUGUGUCCAGACCGGAGCACUGCAUCUGCGCUCACAAUUGACCUCCGAGUGUUUCAGACAGGACUUCGAGAGCCGAUCCCUGACGUGGAGCAAGCCCACGAUUUCCUCUCUCCCAGGCCCGGGAAAGGCACACUUGUCUUCAAAGCAAAUGGAAAUUCUUUUGGUUUUGAGAAUAAGAUUCCCCCAAGCCCCAUCCAGCCUUGACUGGUGUGAGCCAGGCUCCUGACUGAGGUUAUAAAUCAACCAUCGCCUGCACAGCUGAAGGCUGCGAGUCUGAGAAGAGGUCCCAGGAUUUUUAUGAUCCCAGCAAAUCAUUCCUCCACUCUCAAGAACUCAGGGCACACUUUCCAGGGUUUUAUGGCUAAGUGUGGUGGCACAAUGUUGUAAUCUCAGCACACCAGAGGCAGAGGCAGGAGGAUUGCUGCAAGUUUGGGGCCAGCGUCAGGUACAAACCAACUUCUAGACCAACCAGGGUUACACAAAAGGCAAAACAACAAACAAACAAACAAAAAUGUAAGGAAACCCGACCAAAACUCUUCUUUCAAAAAAUCCCAAGUAGGAACACACUAUGUAAAAAAACCAAAAAAAAAAAAAAAAAAAAAACCCAAAACCAACCAAACAAACAAAAAAACCCCAAACAAACAAAAAACAAAACAAAACAAAAAACCAUCAAACAGAGCCGGCUGGAAGAGGGACAGCCCAGGACAAGGCUGCAGGGGGCGCUCUUUUGCCAAGUGCCUCUCUGGGUCUCAGAGGUCGGUAAUCCCAAACCACCAGACCCCUCUGUCAAGUGUGAAGUGGUGGAGGAGGGGAUAGCUUGGGGCCAGCAGAUAGAGCCGAGGCCUCCUUCCACUUCCCUCUGUGGAAGUGGAUGCCCCACUGCUGUGUCGGGGAAAGAGGAGAGCGCAAAGGCGUCCGCUGCUCUUCCCUUCACUUUCUGCUGAUUCAAUUUUGUAUUGUAUCCAGCUGUUGCCGGGAUGGCGGUCCUAGGUGGGAUAAUCUAUAGAGAACUAAGCUGCGCAUCUAAUCCAAGCCUUUCCUAUUUGGACACCAGGAAGGAAAGAGAGAUUCCGAGUCUCCCUUGCUUGCCUGGUGAGAGGCAGCAAGACAUUGACACACAUGAGCCAGAGGACUGGCUUGAAUAAGUGAGCUGGUAACAGUGGAUUUCAUCAUGGGCCAUGAUUGACAGCCACCUUCUUGGAAAGAGGCUGGAUUUUCAGUGCUCUCAGUUUUCCACCUACCACGCUUAGGGGUGAGAGUGGGGUGCUGGGUGUGUGAGGUGGGGCAGCCUGUCUCCCAGGAGCUCUCUGCUGCAGGCAAAGAGAGGCCUCUUACCCGAAGGUGCUCAGAUUCCUGCCGCCUCUGCUUUGAAGUCCCUAGAUGCUUCCUGGUGCAGGUGAAUCCCGGAGGGAGAAAUCACGACAGGAAUCUCUCAGGCUGGUCGCCUCUGGUACAUGAAUGUGUUUGGACUUGGGAACAAAGGAUGCUACCAAAUGAGUCCUCCACAUUCAAGCUGGCUUUGAGCUUUGAUCUCAAAUUGGAACCUUUCAAGUUGUUUCACAUUUGGCCAAACAGGUUCUUGGGUUUCUUGUUUUCCCUCCUUUUCUUAUGAAAGAAUGCCGACCUAAAGGACCCUGGGCACUGGUGGCUUCUGAGGAGACCUCACUGCAGCUUGCUCUGUGACUGCAUCAUCAUGGAUUACACCUCCUUCUCUCCCGGUGAGCUGGGCCAUGAAUAGGCAUGGGGGAUCACUCUGGGCUCAUGAUUCAGAGGACUAGUCAGCUUUGCUCCUGGCACAAAUGCCAGGCAUGAGGCCAAGACAGCCUUGACUACCCGGGACAUUACUGCUCACAUCACAGACCAAGCGUCUAGAGUGGCAGUUCUCAACCUGUGGGUUGUGACCCCCAGGGACCACCAGAAAACACAGAUGUUUACACUAUGAUUCAUAACAGCAGCAAAGCUACCUAUGAGACAGGAAUGAAAAUAACUUUAUGGUUGGGGAUCACACAACAUGGGGAGCUGUAUUAAAGGGUCACAGCCUUAGGAAGGUGGAGAACCACUGCGCUAGAGCACUCUGCCCCUCUGCUGUGGGAGGCUCUGUACGUUGUGAAUGUGUUGCUCUGAUUCACUGGUAAAUAAAAUGCUGACUGGCCAGUAGCCAGGCAGGAAGUAUAGUGUAAGCAGGAUAAGCAGAGAGGGGAAUGCUGGGAAGCAGAAGGCUGAGUCAGGAGACGCAGCCAGCCGCCGCUGCCGCCACCGCCAUGAGAAGCAAGAUGUAAGGUGCCGGUAAGCCAUGAGCCAUGUGGCCACUUACAGAUUAGUAGAAAUGGGUUAAUUUAAGACAUACGAACUGGAUAGCAAGAAGCCUGAGCCAUUAGGCCAAACAGUUUAGGAAGGUUAGAACUACUGCUCUAGAGUACUCUGUCCCUCUUGGGGAAGAUCAAAUGGAAAACAUACCAGCCUCUCUGGAGAUGACCCAUCCAGCAGCAAGUGGCCCACCAGUACAACGCUCUCAACUCUCAGAGAACCAGGAAAGCCUCACUUUGGAAGCCCUUCUGCCUGGCCUCAGAGCAGGCAGCUGGCACCCUAGAUAGCGGACAGACAGGGUGGGUAUUCUGAGCUCACCUCCACCUGCAGGCGGAGUGGGUCUCACCAGGAGUAGCAAGAGCUCCAGGAACCCCAGAGCAGCAGAGAUCUUAAGUAACUAACUUGUCUCUGGGUCUUGUAGAAUCCACAGCAGCUAAGCAUAAAAACGUUUGCUGGAUGAGUACAUGAAUCUCACUGGCAUUUAAUUAAAAUAGCAAACAGCGCUGGUUUGAGUGUCUUACUUUUCAAAGCCUAAUCUCCACAGAAUGUGUGGUCUUUUCCAGAGGGAAUCACAGCCCCACACUUUAUUUUUAGAGAUCUACUGAAGGAAGGACUUCCAACAGGAGGUCUAGGUCCUCUAACUCAGCGUUAGGGACUGACUGCCAGUGAGACAUGACCAGCCCCCAUGUAAUGCCAUCAUGCCUUCCCUUCCGUGAUGGACUGUAAUAUCCUCUUAAAAUGGGCUCACAGUUGAGAGAGUGCCCUGAGUCUCAAAAGAGACUGUGGACAUUAGAACAGUGUUAGGACAGUUGAAGAUUAUAUGGGGACUUCAGAGGCUGGACUGAAGGCCUUUUGCACUAGGAGAGAGGCAUGAACUUAGAGGAGCCAGCAGCAGAACACUGUGGUUUGGAUGUAAAAUGUCCUGUAUAGGCUUGUGUGUCUGAACACCUGGUGUCCGACCGGAAGGCUGGAAGGUUGGGGAACCUUAGGAGGUAGAAGCUUCCUGUAGCAAGUGGGUUGCUGGGUGUGGGCUUUGUGACUUCAUAGGCCAGCGUCACUUCCUGCCUCUUCUCUGCUUCGUGAAUGUGGACACGAUGUGACUAGCCAGCUUGCUCUUCUGCCACUGUGCCUUCCCAUCACCAUGCACCAUAUCCCCUCAAAGUGUAGGCCCCAAGCAAACCUGUCCUUCCCCUCAGGAGGAGAGGCGGGGGUGGAGUGACUAAGAACAGAGAUCUUCAAGUAUGUAGGAACCAUAAGCCACAGAUUCUAAAUUCCAAGUUCAUAUUUCAGUCAUCGGUUCUCUUGACCUUGUCACUUGCCUGGAAUAUGCACAUGAUCUGCUAUCCCUAAUCCACCAUUCAGGGAAACUGUUGCCAGGGAUUUCUGCGACUGGAUAUGCACGGUGCACGCACUACUUCUAGGCCACGCAAAAGCCUGGAUAUCAGAGAAUGUUCCAGGCACUAAACACUUUCUGAGGGUUCGUCCUCCAGAAGAAGAGCACUUUUCUGAAACCACACACAGCUGGCAUCCCACACAGUCCCAGUGUUUUAGGGAUUCUAGACAGUUUUUAUCUUCUUUUCCUCAGCUGUGUGCCCACCGGCUCCCCUUGAACUUGGCUAGUUCACUUGCUUGUCUGAUGCCCCCCACUCUCCUCCCACACUCCCACCCUUCAAGCCCUUGGGCUAGCACUCUCUACAUGCUAAGGCAUCCACCCAGCCCUGUGGAGCUUCAGAAGGCAAUCCUUCCACACAGGAGAGGCUCACACUUCCUGAAGUUCAAGGGCAGACAGAGACCACACCGCUGCUGCUCAGACUCUGGGAAAGUAGAGAGCCACGUGUCUCCGGGCAGAAAUUGCACUUUGCAACUGUGAUAUCUCCCACUACCCCCCACCCUCCUACCCCUCCCCAGAGCAGAAGCUCCGACGUGCCCUUUGGUAAAGUAGCUGCGUGUGGAUGUGCAGACGACGGCAAUGAGGCCGGUCUCCAGAUGCUGAGGUCUGCCUUGCUCUCCCUGUCCGACUGUCAACUCUGCAAAUGACUGAAUUACGUCCUUUCCUUUCCUUGCAGUUCCCCAGUGCCUGGGUCAGUGCCGCUCUGGGCCUCUGGAGUGUUCAGUAAAGAGGUAACGAAGUUCUCAGCACUCGGAAGCGGGCGACUGCUCAUGCUCACUAACGAAGAUGUUCCGUAAAAAUAACAUUUGGAUUCGGUGUGUACGUGUGUAUGGGACAGACAGACAGAGGUGACAGCCGUGGAAAUCAAGGGGCCUGAGAAGGGGAAGAAGUAAGAUGCAGCCGCAUGAGGACAAACACACAGACCUACAAAAGACGCCAACACAGAAGGGCCCAUGGAGUGCCUUCCUCCCCCAAACGGAUCAACACAUUCACCUGCUACAGCAGGGGUUUACAGCUUUGUGUUCUCAGAGGCUAAAUCACAUGAUAUGAACACGGGGACACGUGUGUCUUCCAGAAUGUGUCCCCUGACAGCCAGACGAGUGUAACAGUGCUGAGCUCCCAAGGCACAGUCUUCAGACUGGUCCUCGGAACUCUGACGCCACUGCCAUGACCUCGCCCUCCUCAUGGAGCCUGACCUUGAUGAGGGGGUCACCCACAUGUUGGCUCUUCAUCACCCCACUAGGGAGGAGCGGUGCCGUGUGGUAGACGGAGUCAUGCACAAGAGUGUGUGUGUACAAGUCCUGCACAAGGUGCCACGGCCUCAGUCUGAAAGGGACCAACAAUCUCUGCCUAGCUCCCUUGCCGAAACAUGGCUCCACUGUAGCCAAGGAUAGCGGUACUGCUGGGAGGCAGCAGCAAACGCCAAGAGCCGGACGGGCCUCCCUCCAGCAUGUCUCUAGGGGGACAAAGGACUAGAAAGACAAAUUCCUUCCCAUGCAGCAAUUAGUUUAAUUUUUUUACACUUCAAACAUGACUAUGAAAGUAUCAGACCGUCUUUCUGCUAGACUGUAAGGCCAUCUGUACACCUUAAUUAGACAAGACCGAUGACUUCCAGUGACAGAGGCCCAGGCUGGAGUCCCAGCUCCGUCAUGUGCUCGGACCAGUCACUGAGCUUUUAGAGGCCUGAGUUUGCUCAUCAGCAAGAUGGGGCUGAGAGCAGAAAAGAGAUGUUUGGAGGACCAAAGGACAAGGUGGUGAGAACCUGACACAGCUCGGUCAGCUCUCCAAGUUAACUGGCUGCUGUUGACGGGAGGUGUUUCCAAACACAGAUGAGAAUAUGCAGGCAGCCAAAGGGCACCUGAACAACCACACAGUGUCACCACGCAUGAGCCUUAAAGCCUGGACACUUCAUUCAUCGUCAUAAUUUACUUAGGGUGACUUUAUACCUAAAUCUAAGAGUUAUGGUAGACCCUUGACUAAUACUAGGUUCUAGGCACUUCCUUAAAAAUAUUAAAUCUGGCUGUUACACAGAGAAAUCCUGUCUCAAAAAAAAAAUUAAGUUUGUUAUCACACCAAAGCCUUCUAGUUCCAUGAAGUAUGAUCAUUAUCACUUUCAAUUCUAUUCGACUCUUUUCAGAUUUUUAUUAUUUUAAAUCAUGUGUGUGUGCGCACUCACGUACACACGCACAUGAGAGCAGAUAGGUGGAGGCCAGAGGCAAAGGAUUCCCCUGGAGCUGGAGUCACAGGUGGUUGUGAACCACUCAACAUAAGUGUGGGAACCAAACUCAGGUCCUCUUCAAGAGUAGUGUGUGACCUUAACCACUGAGCCAAUUCUCCAGUCCCAUUUCAUUAUUUUUGAGAUGUAGUUUUAUGUAGCCAAGGUUGGCCUUGGCUCACUGUAUAGCUAACGAUGGCCUCAAACUCCUGAGUCUCUUGUUUCAAUCUUCUGAGUGCUGGGAUCCAGGCGUGUGCCACUAUACCUGCUUUAUGUGGUAUUGGGGAUUGAACCCAGGGUCCUCUGGGUUGUGCUGAGCAAGCAACUGGUCAGGCUGAAUUUGGGGACAGCUGAAGUGAUGUGCAUGAGUGACAGGUCCACUGAUAGUGGGAAGUGGGGAUAAGUAAGAGGUAUAGAGGUUGGAGAAAGCUUUCUACAGCACCGCUGUCCACAUCCACUCGCUGCUGGGGUCAGGGCACGAAUGAUUUAAGAGCCCCCAAGAGCACACGGUACAGAGCAUAGUUAGGUAGUUUUUACUAUGCCAUAAAGACAAAUCGAAUCAUAUGAAAUGUGUGCUUCCGAAGACAGGAAGAAGGGGAAGGUGGGUGACAUGUGAAGGGGUAGAUUACCAGGGAAUGCUGAUCUAUGCUGUUUCCUCAGCAACGGUAUAUAAACAAUGCAUGAAAGGAAGAAUGAAAAAAUGUCACUCCCUGCA